rnacentral:antisense_RNA from 18 species
UUGAUAUACUCAGCAUAGGCUCCGGGAUGUCUUGCUCCGAUUACUGUUAGCUUCCGACAGCGGGCGAAUUCGCCUUUUUUACAGUAUUCACACUCUCCACAAUAGAGUGCUGGGCA